AUGCACUACAAGUUCACACAGCAGGUUUGGUUACUAUUUGGAGAUUGGACACGGGCGGAUUUUCAGGUGCCGGAGGAUCGUUUCAGCAAUAUGGAACACUGGUGGCUGCAAGCACGUAAGUUAGUUCCCAAGCCUAUGCAUUAGAACAUUGACACAAUCUCCAUCUUGAUUCACUUGAGCAUUUGGAAGGAAAGAAAUUCCAGAAUUUUUGAGCAGGAAGCGAGUAGUCCCUUCAGAGUUUUGGAUCUGAUUUGAGAAGAUAUUGGGACAUGGAGGGAGGCCGGUUGUGUUACUGACAUCGGCAACCUUUCUUGA
rnacentral:rRNA from 1 species